AAUAAGUGUAGUUUUGCACUAUUUACGUUCAACGUUUGACCGUCCGUCUUAUUUGAAAAUUUUUUAUGAUUAGUAUUUUUAUUGCUAUUAGAUGAUAAAACAUGAAUAGUACUUUAUGUGUGACUAAAUGUUUUUAAUUUUUUCACAAAUUUUUCAAAUAAGACGGACGGUCAAACGUUGAACGUGAAUAGUGCAAAACUGCACUUUUU
rnacentral:pre_miRNA from 1 species